ACCCCCGUCUUCCACCAUUGCCCCUCGGCCUCCCCGUCCCGGCCUCCCCCAAUUUCUUCCUCUCUUUGCCCUCCGCGCUGCCACCACCCUGCCCCUGCACGGCCUUCAAAUCCGCCCGCUGUUUCCCGCCCUCCUCCCUUCGCGCGCAGCAGCUCGCUCACCUCGCCGCGCCGGCGCGGCGGGGCGCCGUUCGGUGGGUGGGUCUCGCUUCUUGGAUCUCGCGGGAGGCCCUGCCUUCCUGGUUUUGCGUUCUCCGCGUCUCUUGGUGAUUCGGACUGCUUGCUGGAUGGUGAUGGCUGUGACUAGUUCCGGGGUGAUGGCUCCGUGAAGAUUGGAUUGGGUUUCCGACAGAGGGGAUUGGAUCUUGGCGGUGCUGCGAGAGGCCACAACCAUAUAGCAAAAGCCUGACCUAUGCAACAGUCAUUGGAAUUCUCCUCAAGCUGAAGAGACUCACAAAUGGGCAUCCGUCAGCGUGCUGGAUGGCCACGGGCAACUGGGACAGUGGAGCAGGACGCCAUGCUAAACUGUAUAUGCGUGUUUAGAUGUGUGACGAGGACAGGAGCAUGUUCCAGAUGUGCAAAGAUGAGCAGGCAUCAAGUGGAUGAAGAGGUCAGAAGUAAGCUGGCUGCAUUGGAGGUGGGCCAUCAAAAUGAAAUUCAGAGAACAGUUUCUGCAUUCGCUCGACUUCAGAAAUAUGCGGAAUCAAGAAAGAGAUAGACAGAAGACUAGAUGUGCACUUCCAGAGAAGAAUGUAUGUACCUUUGUAAAUGUUUCUUGCAUUUCUUGAAGUAUGCAAUUUCCAUGUUUUUACAAAUACUAGAGAAAAAUUCUAUUUGUUUUAAUGAGAUGUAAAGCAUUUGUAGUACUAUUCCAAUGUCUGUAUCCAAAAUAGGAGCCGGUUCUCGCAGCAAUGAGCUAAUCGCUUACUGCAUUGUUUAGCAAUGCUGAUUUCUCUGUUAAAUUAUUCUGCCUUCAUUUAUUCUAUAUUCCAAAGUGAAAAGUGUAUGCAUUUACAAGGGCA